AUUGAACGCUGGCGGCAGGCCUAACACAUGCAAGUCGAGCGGUAGCACAGAGAGCUUGCUCUCGGGUGACGAGCGGCGGACGGGUGAGUAAUGUCUGGGAAACUGCCUGAUGGAGGGGGAUAACUACUGGAAACGGUAGCUAAUACCGCAUAAUGUCGCAAGACCAAAGUGGGGGACCUUCGGGCCUCAUGCCAUCAGAUGUGCCCAGAUGGGAUUAGCUAGUAGGUGGGGUAACGGCUCACCUAGGCGACGAUCCCUAGCUGGUCUGAGAGGAUGACCAGCCACACUGGAACUGAGACACGGUCCAGACUCCUACGGGAGGCAGCAGUGGGGAAUAUUGCACAAUGGGCGCAAGCCUGAUGCAGCCAUGCCGCGUGUGUGAAGAAGGCCUUCGGGUUGUAAAGCACUUUCAGCGGGGAGGAAGGCGUUAAGGUUAAUAACCUUGUCGAUUGACGUUACCCGCAGAAGAAGCACCGGCUAACUCCGUGCCAGCAGCCGCGGUAAUACGGAGGGUGCAAGCGUUAAUCGGAAUUACUGGGCGUAAAGCGCACGCAGGCGGUCUGUCAAGUCGGAUGUGAAAUCCCCGGGCUCAACCUGGGAACUGCAUUCGAAACUGGCAGGCUAGAGUCUUGUAGAGGGGGGUAGAAUUCCAGGUGUAGCGGUGAAAUGCGUAGAGAUCUGGAGGAAUACCGGUGGCGAAGGCGGCCCCCUGGACAAAGACUGACGCUCAGGUGCGAAAGCGUGGGGAGCAAACAGGAUUAGAUACCCUGGUAGUCCACGCCGUAAACGAUGUCGAUUUGGAGGUUGUGCCCUUGAGGCGUGGCUUCCGGAGCUAACGCGUUAAAUCGACCGCCUGGGGAGUACGGCCGCAAGGUUAAAACUCAAAUGAAUUGACGGGGGCCCGCACAAGCGGUGGAGCAUGUGGUUUAAUUCGAUGCAACGCGAAGAACCUUACCUGGUCUUGACAUCCACAGAACUUUCCAGAGAUGGAUUGGUGCCUUCGGGAACUGUGAGACAGGUGCUGCAUGGCUGUCGUCAGCUCGUGUUGUGAAAUGUUGGGUUAAGUCCCGCAACGAGCGCAACCCUUAUCCUUUGUUGCCAGCGGUCCGGCCGGGAACUCAAAGGAGACUGCCAGUGAUAAACUGGAGGAAGGUGGGGAUGACGUCAAGUCAUCAUGGCCCUUACGACCAGGGCUACACACGUGCUACAAUGGCAUAUACAAAGAGAAGCGACCUCGCGAGAGCAAGCGGACCUCAUAAAGUAUGUCGUAGUCCGGAUUGGAGUCUGCAACUCGACUCCAUGAAGUCGGAAUCGCUAGUAAUCGUAGAUCAGAAUGCUACGGUGAAUACGUUCCCGGGCCUUGUACACACCGCCCGUCACACCAUGGGAGUGGGUUGCAAAAGAAGUAGGUAGCUUAACCUUCGGGAGGGCGCUUACCACUUUGUGAUUCAUGACUGGGGUGA
rnacentral:rRNA from 1 species